rnacentral:rRNA from 1 species
UGUCCACUGAACCUUAUCAUUUAGAGGAAGGAGAAGUCGUAACAAGGUUUCCGUAGGUGAACCUGCGGAAGGAUCAUUGUCGAAACCUGCCCGCAAAGCAGAACGACCCGCGAACGAGUUAAAAAACAUUCUUUAAGUCCGUCGUGCGGGGGCGACCCCGUUCGGCGGCGCCUAACGAACCCCGGCGCGAUCCGCGCCAAGGAAUACUCAUGAAACUCGAGGUCGCUCCGGCCCGGCGCAGCCCCGUUCGCGGGCGCGCGCGCCGGUCCCGGUGUCGCCGCGAAAGAUAACACAGAACGACUCUCGACAACGGAUAUCUCGGCUCUCGCAUCGAUGAAGAACGUAGCUAAAUGCGAUACUUGGUGUGAAUUGCAGAAUCCCGUGAACCAUCGAGUCUUUGAACGCAAGUUGCGCCCGAAGCCAUUAGGCCGAGGGCACGUCUGCCUGGGCGUCACGCAUCGCGUCGCUCCCCCCAAGCAUGCAUAUAUAUAUGUGCACGGGGGAAGCGGAUACUGGCCUCCCGUGCCCCUCGCGGACGCGGCUGGCUCAAAACGGAGUCCCCGACGGAGGACGCACGACAAGUGGUGGUGGUUUUACAAAAGCACUCGCGUCGUGUCGUGCGCGCGUCCUGCGCCGGUGCCGGCUCGCGUGACCCUCUUGCGCCUCCCUCGCUCCCGCGACGGACGGUGCUUCGACCGCGACCCCAGGUCAGGCGGGACUACCCGCUGAGUUUAAGCAUAUCAAUAAGCGGAGGA